CCAGCUGCCUCCAUUUGGAGAUGAGAAAGCGGAGGCCCAGAGAAGGCCUAGACGUGUCCAGCCACAUACAUGAGCCAGGGAUGCAGCCAGCUUUCUCAAAAGCCCAGGUCAUACACUCCCUCUACUCUGCAUGACAACCCACUUUGGCCAAACGCUGCAUAGGGCCUGGAGACUCCAGCAGACCCAGAGGGGGCUCGUGCUCUCUCAGUGGUUCCUGAGGGCCUCGGGCACAUGCCUGGACCCAUGAGGCAGGAUGGAGCACCUCCCCAGUUCCUGGCCCAAAGAGAUGCCCGUUCCUCUCCUGUUGGCAGGACCCUCCCACCGCCUGCCUCUAGGGCCAUGCCUUAUGGCUGUCGUGACUGCCCCCACCUUCUAGUAAUGAGAGGGCCAAUUACCAAUUAGCAGAAUCUGGAUUGCAGAGGCACCAGGCUGUGCCUUGUCGGCAUCUGCAGGGAUGCGGCCGGUCUGCCUCCAGCCACACACAGCUGGCUCUCCACUCCCCCCAACAGCGCUUGGUAGCCCCCAGGGACCAAAGCCAACUUUUUUUUUUUUAGAUCCUAUUUAUUUAUUCAUGAGACACACACACACACAGAGGCGAAGGCAGAGGGAGAAGCAGGCUCCCCGCGGAGCAGGGAGCCCGACAUAAGGGCUCGAGCCCAGGACCCUGGGAUCACGAUCUACGGACUAAGGCAGACGCUUAACCGACUGAGCCCCCCAGGUGCCCCCCGACGCCAACUUUAAAACAUACAAGGCGAAGAGGUCAGGAGCACUGGGCCUCAUCUUAGUCACACCAGGAGCCUUUGGCUGGAGUUUAUAUCAACUAUACAGACCUGGGAACAUGUCCCCACUCUGCUGUUCACUUGCUGUGUGACCUUGGGCAAGUAACUUGACCCCUCUGUGCCUGUUUCCUUAGCCAUGGGUUAGGUGAAUUUGAAGUUAAUUAUAUCCAAAGAGUUUAUUACAGGGUCUGGAACAUGACAAGUCCUCAGUAAACCUAAGUGAUUAUUUAUGUCUGUUAGGCUGAUUACUCAGCAAGACUCAAAAGGUCAGGACAGGAUAAGCUUUUUCUUCCUUUCCUUUCUUUUUCUUUUUUCUUUCUUUUCUUUUUUCCUGAAACAGAAAAGGAAAGGGGAGCUGAGGUGAGCAACACCUUUGUUCAAAGCAAGGCACUGUUGCUGCCUGGGUGCAUGACCCCAGGCAAGUGACUCAGGCUGAGACUGUUUCCUUGUACGUAAAAUGCGCUUGAUGGCAGAGUUGAGCUCAAAAUACAGGAGCCGUAAAGAUGGUGGAUCCCAUGACCAGGAUCGUGGAGCUCACGGUGGGAAUGAUGGAGCUCAUGAUGUCAGUGAUGGGGCUUAUGGGGACGAGAGGGCUUGUGAUGGGAGUGGUGGAGUCUAUUGUGGGGGUGAUGGGGUUCAUGGCAAGGAUGGUGGAGCUCAUGAUGAAAAAAAUGCAUUCGGCGAUUACUUUACAAUAACCGAGCAAGGCAGAAAUGGGCCGCCUCGUUUUUCAGAAGAGGAAACGGGUCCGGAGGGACACCUGCCCGGACUCCCGCAGCAAGGCAGGGGCGGAAGGCUGACGUCCCACUGGGAUGGGGGGAGCUCUGAACGGUGGAGGCUGGACUCGAAGGGGGGCGCCCCCGAGACACAGGUUUCCUCUCUGCAGAUGGCCAGCCCACGAACCAGACCCCGGUCGACUCAGGACUCCUGGUGGCGCCGCUAGUGGCAGGCGGCGUGGCCGUGGCCGCCUUCGCGCUGAGCGCCUGGGUCUGGGGCCGCCGUCGCAGCCGGCGCGAGGACUCAGGGCAUCCUCUCUACGGGAACGUCCUUUACCAGCCCCGGAGCGCCCCAAAGAAGACUAAGGCGUGGCGUGUGGAGGGGCAGGUGCUGGACAUCCCCAGGGAGGACCAGAAGAGUCAGAGCUUCUAUUCCAUCUCUUUGCCCCAGCCUCCCAGCCCCCAGCAGCGCCUGGCCCAGAAGCCUUGCCCCAGGCCCAGCCCCAGCCCCAGCCCCAGGUCGAGUCACCCCACAUCUACCGUCGGCGUCUCUCCUGACCCACGCCCCUCUGGGCAGCAGUGGCCAAGAGGGCUCCUUGAGGUGGGGAGAGGACUCGAAACCCCAGAAGAGAUCCCCUCCCACCAAUGGCCACGUGAAGAUGUGAUUGAUUUCCCAAAGAGUCAGGGAGUCCAACGGCCCAGCCCAAGACCCCGUCCUCAUUACUAUAAGGCCGGAUUCCUCCCUCACCCGCAGGGCGCUCAAUAAAGGCUUAUAAAGGAGAGCCAGAUUUUGUGAGUUGGGGGGUGUUAAAGAUAUCUGAGGGGUUGUCUGGGGGUUCCUGAGCCCCAGGAUGGCUGGGGGACAGUCCACUGUGGUGAGGGGGCUCUGUGAUGACUGGCCACCUCCCUCCUCUUAUCUUUGGAGAGUCAUGUCCAAUUAGCAGAGAAGUGAUGCCCCCGACCUCCACACAGCACCUUGAGCUGGAAGCACCCCCCUCCCUGGGUCGUUGUGGAGAUGAAGAGUGACGGGGGACAUCGGGGCUCCCUGGAACUCAUCAGCCCCCCAGGUCUCCUGCCCGACUGUCACCUUGAAGUGACACCAGCUGGGAUCAGCUCCCCUCCCCCACUUCUGCUGUUUCCAUGGGGACAGAUGUCCUUUCAGCAGCAGGCCUCGGCUGCCUGCCCAGGUGCAAGGGAGGGGCUGCGUGGGGGCAGGGCCGGCCUGAGAGCCUCCCCCCUCGGUUUCUCCAUCUUUGUAUCUGUCUGUGUCAGCUGUGUCCGGGUUUUCCUCUGACCUCAUACGCUCUCUCCCUGCCU